GGUGGCGACCGGCGCACGGGUGCGUAACGCGUAUGUAACCUACCUAUAACAGGGGCAUAACACUGAGAAAUUGGUACUAAUUCCCCAUAAUAUUCGGAGAGGCAUCUCUCCGGGUUGAAAACUCCGGUGGUUAUAGAUGGACAUGCGUUGUAUUAGCUAGUUGGUGAGGUAACGGCUCACCAAGGCAACGAUACAUAGGGGGACUGAGAGGUUAACCCCCCACACUGGUACUGAGACACGGUCCAGACUCCUACGGGAGGCAGCAUG
rnacentral:rRNA from 1 species